UCCAGACUCCUACGGGAGGCAGCAGUGGGGAAUCUUCCGCAAUGGGCGCAAGCCUGACGGAGCAACGCCGCGUGAAUGAAGAAGGUCUUCGGAUCGUAAAGUUCUGUUCUUAGGGAAGAAGUCUUUUCUUGUGAAUAAUGGGAGAAGGUGACGGUACCUAUGGAGAAAGCUCCGGCUAACUACGUGCCAGCAGCCGCGGUAAUACGUAGGGAGCGAGCGUUAAUCGGAAUUACUGGGCGUAAAGCGCUCGUAGGCGGUAUGUCAAGUCAAGGGUGAAAUCCCCGCGCUCAACGUGGGAACUGCCUUUGAAACUGGCAAACUGGAGUGUGUGAGAGGAUAGUGGAAUUCCAGGUGUAGGAGUGAAAUCCGUAGAUAUCUGGAGGAACAUCAGUGGCGAAGGCGACUAUCUGGCACAUAACUGACGCUGAGGAGCGAAAGCGUGGGUAGCAAACAGGAUUAGAUACCCGGGUA
rnacentral:rRNA from 1 species